rnacentral:rRNA from 1 species
CUUGUUUGAUCCUGGCUCAGGAUGAACGCUGGCGGCGCGCCUAACACAUGCAAGUCGAACGGCACCCAUCUUCGGAUGGAAGCGAGUGGCGAACGGCUGAGUAACACGUGGAGAACCUGCCCCCUCCCCCGGGAUAGCCGCCCGAAAGGACGGGUAAUACCGGAUACCCCGGGGUGCCGCAUGGCACCCCGGCUAAAGCCCCGACGGGAGGGGAUGGCUCCGCGGCCCAUCAGGUAGACGGCGGGGUGACGGCCCACCGUGCCGACAACGGGUAGCCGGGUUGAGAGACCGACCGGCCAGAUUGGGACUGAGACACGGCCCAGACUCCUACGGGAGGCAGCAGUGGGGAAUCUUGCGCAAUGGGGGGAACCCUGACGCAGCGACGCCGCGUGCGGGACGGAGGCCUUCGGGUCGUAAACCGCUUUCAGCAGGGAAGAGUCAAGACUGUACCUGCAGAAGAAGCCCCGGCUAACUACGUGCCAGCAGCCGCGGUAAUACGUAGGGGGCGAGCGUUAUCCGGAUUCAUUGGGCGUAAAGCGCGCGUAGGCGGCCCGGCAGGCCGGGGGUCGAAGCGGGGGGCUCAACCCCCCGAAGCCCCCGGAACCUCCGCGGCUUGGGUCCGGUAGGGGAGGGUGGAACACCCGGUGUAGCGGUGGAAUGCGCAGAUAUCGGGUGGAACACCGGUGGCGAAGGCGGCCCUCUGGGCCGAGACCGACGCUGAGGCGCGAAAGCUGGGGGAGCGAACAGGAUUAGAUACCCUGGUAGUCCCAGCCGUAAACGAUGGACGCUAGGUGUGGGGGGACGAUCCCCCCGGGCCGCAGCCAACGCAUUAAGCGUCCCGCCUGGGGAGUACGGCCGCAAGGCUAAAAC